rnacentral:tRNA from 1 species
GGUUGUAGCUCAGUGGUAAAGUGCUUGUCUAGAACAUGUGAGACCCUGGGUUCAAUCCUCAGCACCA